ACUGGCUUUAAUGUUUGUAAGUAUUCAAGUCAUUUAUUCAAAGUACAGUCCGUACAAAAUGACUUCUCACGCGCCAUUUUAACUCUAUGGGUCAACUCUCAUGUCAAAACUACGGUUCACGUUUAAAAUAAGGACUGAAAUCGCACUUUGACGUGAUAUUUUGACACAUAAUGACAAAAUAGCGCUUGAGAAGUCAUUUUU